rnacentral:rRNA from 1 species
ACUGAACGCUGGCGGCAGGCCUAACACAUGCAAGUCGAGCGGAUGAAGAGAGCUUGCUCUCUGAUUCAGCGGCGGACGGGCGAGUAAUGCCUAGGAAUCUGCCUGGUAGUGGGGGACAACGUUUCGAAAGGAACGCUAAUACCGCAUACGUCCUACGGGCGCAAGCAGGGGACCUUCGGGCCUUGCGCUAUCAGAUGAGCCUAGGUCGGAUUAGCUAGUAGGUGGGGUAAAGGCUCACCUAGGAGACGGUCCGUAACUGGGCUGAGAGGAUGAUCAGUCACACUGGAACUGAGACACGGUCCAGACUCCUACGGGAGGCAGCAGUGGGGAAUAUUGGACAAUGGGCGAAAGCCUGAUCCAGCCAUGCCGCGUGUGUGAAGAAGGUCUUCGGAUUGUAAAGCACUUUAAGUUGGGAGGAAGGGCAGUAAGCUAAUACCUUGCAGUUUUGACGUUACCAACAGAAUAAGCACCGGCUAACUUCGUGCCAGCAGCCGCCGUAAAAC